UGUUCCUAGGGGGAGGGAAUCUGUAACGUUUGAUCGGGCUCCCGUCCACCAGAGGGAGCCUUCACCUGAAUUCUGAACUCUGCCACUUCCUGUUCCUGCCACAUCAGUUCCUGUCUUGUCAUUUCCUGUCACCCUGUAUUUAAGCCAUGUGUUUGCUAUGCCACAUUGCGAAGUAUUGCCAGUUUCCCUGCCUUACUAAGCGUUUUUCAUGUCUCCUUUGCUGUUUAUUGUUAUGACCAUUGCUUUUGCGUUUUUGGAUUACUGUUUUGGAUUUGUUUGCCAUUGGACUGUUUUGCCUGUAUUUUGACCAAAGCCUGUGACCUGACUACGAGUUGUGAUUACCAUUUGGAUUUUUUCAGCAGACCAUUUAAUAAAGACCCGCUUAUGGAAUCUACACGGCCUAAGUCCUCCUUACAGUAUGUCUGUUUAUGCUUUAUAAGAGGUCACCACAAUGACUCCUUCCCGAGACCCGUACCACUGUCCUUCUCAUGUGGAGACCUUGACCAAGAUGGAUCAAUUGUUUGUUUACAAAGAAGAAACUGCAUUAGAAGGUCUUGCAGAAGUUUGCUGUGGAAUAAAGCCUAUCAGCAAAUAUUUUGUGAAGGAUGGCAUGGGGAACAAGGUUUUCGGUAUUCUUGAGGACAGCGAGUGUU